UCGCAACAACUUCUAACUUUCCGUCAUUUAUGCUUUGCUCUUGAACACCAUCAACUCCUUUAGAGUAGAAAAAAGUGGACAGAAUUGAAACUAGGAUGAAUACUCAUAUGAUUUGAAAUGAAAAUAUAAGCUAAUGAGAUCGACUGACAGACUGUGAUUUUAAACGAUCCGUAAUGAAUGGUAAUUGCGAUUAGUAGUACCUUGAGGAAUCAUAUUCCAGAGAUCAACACCAGCACCCCAAGAAGGUAUGUUAAGAACGACAAUACUUUCAAUUGAUGGUAGUUCUACUUUGUUUCCAUCCAAGUAAAGUUCAAUUUUUUUGUCCAAAUCUCUGCAUUCUCUCUCGACAACUUGCUGUGUCCCAAAGCCCAGAUAGAGAAGCUACACGACAACACGAUGCAUAACAGCUCAAAAUUCGCAAGGCGUUCUGGACUUGAAAUUACCAACA